AGAUUUGCGCAGUGGCGAUAUCGUAACCAAUGAGGUUAUACCGAUGUUCGAUUAUAGCUAAUUGAAAAAAUCCUAUUUAUUAGUGUAUCACAAGUGUUUCUACAAGGAAUUUAAAACCGUUUUGUUCUGAUAAUGG